UUCAGUUACCUCCACAGCCAGGUCCUCCGAGAAUGGACUCAGCUGAAGGAGAGUGUACAUGUGUUGAGACUGAAGAACGGACUGCUGUGGAAGGAGCAGAUUGAACUGCAAGAGUCCUGUGAGGAGCUGAAGAGGCUCUUGAAGGAGGCCCAUGAGAUGAUCUGUGACCCCUGUGCUGAGCAGAAUCAGGUAGGCUGAGGCAGCAGGGGCAGGUGCCCACCUUCCAACCACAAACAUAGAGACACCCAUAUACCAUCCACCCAUCCAUCCAGACUCCCACCUACAUACCAUCCAAUUUUUGAUUUCUGUGAUCACUCCCAAGUCUUUCUGGAGAGUUAGCCUCUUUCAAGAAACUGGAUAAUUGUCAAGCAAACCUUCUUGCUCUGCUAGAAGCUGCAGUACAUUGAGAGAGCUGGGUCAGUCACAUAUCACACACCUACAUGUCAUUAUGAUCAGAGGGCUGCUAUGCAGGGAGGUACUUUGGGAACAACACAAAGCUUUCAUUGAUGAUGUCAGUGGCUUGUGGCUCAUUUGCUUUGCAAGGGUCAUGUGAGAUCACAGGGAGGAAGCAGCCUUCAAGGACUAGAGCCCAGUGCCAGUGCCAAGUUCAAGAAGAGUAUCAGGGAUUGCAUGCCAAUGACCAAGAUUCUCAGAGGAGACUCACUUCUCAGAAAUACUAAUGCACAGACACAGAAUGAACAAUUUUAUGUCAUGAAGUGGGUGGAUGGAUGGGUGUAUGGAUGAGGAAAGUGAUGAGAUAGAGCACAGGUGUCUGGAUGGGUAGAUUUUGUAAGGUUACAUAAGUAAAUGAUGCUGGACCUAA